CGGAGUAUAGCUCAGUAGGUAGAGCGCACGACUGAUAAUCGUGAGGUCGAAAGUUCGACUCUUUCUACUCCGA
rnacentral:tRNA from 2 species